rnacentral:snoRNA from 1 species
GGUCUUUAUGAUGAAUUUAUUGACAAGCAUAUGUCUGAUUUGCAGUGAUGCUUACAUUUCAAAUCUGAAACC